CCUACGGGAGGCAGCAGUCGAGAAUCAUUCACAAUGGGGAAAACCCUGAUGGUGCGACGCCGCGUGGGGGAAUGAAGGUCUUCGGAUUGUAAACCCCUGUCAUGUGGGAGCAAAUUAAAAAGAUAGUACCACAAGAGGAAGAGACGGCUAACUCUGUGCCAGCAGCCGCGGUAAUACAGAGGUCUCAAGCGUUGUUCGGAAUCACUGGGCGUAAGGCGUGCGUAGGCUGUUUCGUAAGUCGUGUGUGAAAGGCGCGGGCUCAACCCGCGGACGGAACAUGAUACUGCGAGACUAGAGUAAUGGAGGGGGAACCGGAAUUCUCGGUGUAGCAGUGAAAUGCGUAGAUAUCGAGAGGAACACUCGUGGCGAAGGCGGGUUCCUGGACAUUAACUGACGCUGAGGCACGAAGGCCAGGGGAGCGAAAGGGAUUAGAUACCCGAGUAGUC
rnacentral:rRNA from 1 species